GAUGAACGCUAGCGGCAGGCUUAAUACAUGCAAGUCGUGGGGCAGCAGGGGUGUAGCAAUACAUCUGCUGGCGACCGGCAAACGGGUGCGUAACACGUACGCAACCUUCCCGUUACUGUGGCAUAGCCCAGGGAAACUUGGAUUAAUACCACAUAUUAUAUAGAGAGGGCAUCCUUUUUAUAUCAAAGCUUCGGCGGUAACGGAUGGGCGUGCGGUUGAUUAGGUAGUUGGCGGGGUAACGGCCCACCAAGCCUACGAUCAAUAGCUGAUGUGAGAGCAUGAUCAGCCACACGGGCACGGAGACACGGGCCCGACUCCUACGGGAGGCAGCAGUAAGGAAUAUUGGGCAAUGGACGAAAGUCUGACCCAGCCAUGCCGCGUGAAGGAUUAAGGUCCUCUGGAUUGUAAACUUCUUUUCCCUGGGGCGAAAACCAGCUAUUCUUAGCUAUUUGACAGUACCAGAGGAAUAAGCACCGGCUAACUCCGUGCCAGCAGCCGCGGUAAGAC
rnacentral:rRNA from 1 species